GGUGUUCCUAGGUCGGAAGCAUAAAUCCCAUGGGAAGUCAGCUAAAGAACAUUUUAUGCAUCACUCAUCCUAUUAUGAGCCCUGUGCUCUUCCAUCUCUCUACAAGG
ensembl:misc_RNA